rnacentral:tRNA from 1 species
UCCCUGGUAGUCCAGUUAUUAGGAUUGGACGCUUGCACUGCUGUGGCCCUGGGUUCAAUCCCUAGUCAGGGAA